UACAGAGGUCUCAAGCGCUGUUCGGAUUCAUUGGGCGUAAAGGGUGCGUAGGUGGCGCCGUAAGUGGGGUGUGAAAUCUCGGGGCUUAACUCCGAAACUGCAUUCCAUACUGCGGUGCUCGAGGACUGGAGAGGAGACUGGAAUUCAUGGUGUAGCAGUGAAAUGCGUAGAGAUCAUGAGGAAGACCAGUGGCGAAGGCGGGUCUCUGGACAGUUCCUGACACUGAGGCACGAAGGCCAGGGGAGCAAACGGG
rnacentral:rRNA from 1 species